GUAAAGAUCACUAGCGAGACCACUUCUGCUUGGUUCAUGAACGAUGAGCCAAUUUCCUGAACCCUUUUGAAAUACUUGUCAAAGGUGAACCUGAUUUGGCCGACGAUCUACAUGCUGUUCUGGACCUUCCUCUUGGUCUUCUCCGCGUACUCCGAGCCUGUCGUCUCCUGUACUGGUGUGGCUGUCAUGUUGACUGGUGUCCCUGUAUAUUUCCUGGGAGUACUCGGAAAACAAGCCCAAGUGUUGUGAUAUUACCAUUGGUAAGGGGAUGUUCUGGUGUCUCCCAUUAAAGAAAGUGUUAAUGGAACUCUGAGAUGGAUACCAAUGUGGCCUGCCCCUUCAAAGUAAAUGCAGAGGUUGACUGGAUACACAGAUGUUCGUGUAUUUGGUCAACUGGCUUUACUUGUAAUUAGGUAGUUUUAAAAUACAAUGAAAAGAUAUCUUUGACAAAGGUGUAAUAAAGCGGCAAGAUUUGUUAAAAAGUCAAAA
ensembl:lncRNA